GACGAACGCUGGCGGCGUGCUUAACACAUUCAAGUCGAACGGAGUGGCGAACGGGGGGGUAACGCGUAAUCAACCUGCCCUUCAGAGGGGGACAACAGUUGGAAACGACUGCUAAUACCGCAUACUGAAGGAGGGGAUUGCGUCUGAUUAGCUAGUUGGAGGGGUAAAGGCUCACCAAGCCGACGAUCUAGAGCUGGUCUGAGAGGAUGAACGGCCACAUUGGGACUGAGACACGGCCCAGACUCCUACGGGAGGCAGCAGUGGGGAAUCUUCCGCAAUGGACGAAAGUCUGACGGAGCAACGCCGCGUGAGUGAUGACGGCCUUCGGGUUGUAAAGGACUUUUGUCAGGGAAGCGGUACCGGAAUAGAAAGCCACGGCUAACUACGUGCCAGCAGUCGCGGUAAUUC
rnacentral:rRNA from 1 species